UCUACUUCUUGUCUCUUUAAACUUUAAAUGAUCGGGUCUUUCAGUACUAUUCGCUACGUUAUUAUGGUAUCUAAUGAUAACGUGUAGGACAAUUGAAGAAAAGUAUUUUGCUGAACACAAACACCUAGAAUAAUAGACAACACCUACCAGAGAGAAGAAAGGCAACUAUGUGUCACCAUAGGAUAUUCAACGCAGAGCAAUUUAUACUAACAAAGACAAAAUCAACCAGAUGAUGACAAUAUUCAAAGUUUACUACAGGCUGGCUGACCGAUCUGAACAAAGACAUAACACGACGGGUAUCGUAUACGAUGCAGGAAAUGCCGGGGCUCCUCAUUUGUAGUGGAGGUCGUGUUGUUUCUUAUUUAUUAUUUAUAACUGUUGAUGUAAAUGUCCUUUGGUUUUUGUGAGUCUUUGUUUACUGCUUGGUUUUGAUUGUUAUAAUUGUCUCCUCUGAAUAAUAUUGUUAUUUGUGUUAGUUGUAUAUCUGCAUAAUUGAAACAAACACAAAUGACAUGUAAUGCACAUUAUUAAUACUGUCAUUGAUGAUGACUUUGUUCGUUUGUUAUUUGAUUAUUUAUCAAAAAAACAGGAAAUGUUGCUUUUAACAAUGUUUUAUACAUGUCAAUCAUAUUUUAGUGCUACAAUCAAUUGGCAGACAAAUUCAUUUUGUAUAUAAACAAAACGUGAAAAAUUAAAACAAAUGAGCUAC